rnacentral:rRNA from 1 species
UAGGGAAUCUUCCACAAUGGGCGCAAGCCUGAUGGAGCAACACCGCGUGAGUGAAGAAGGGUUUCGGCUCGUAAAGCUCUGUUGUUAAAGAAGAACACGUAUGAGAGUAACUGUUCAUACGUUGACGGUAUUUAACCAGAAAGUCACGGCUAACUACUUGCCAG